rnacentral:rRNA from 1 species
AUGACACUUAGAAGGUGCCGCUGGGUUCUACAAGAGCGAGACAGGCGGGUCGUCCAAGCCCGAGUCACAUGGGACGUCCGACUGCCCGCGCGGGGGAGGGGGGUCCAGCAGCAAGUGCACCCGCGCCGCCGAGGUGCACAACCCCUCCAAGAAGGUGGUGUCCCGGUUCCCCGUCGUCAGCCAUUUUCCCCUGAGUUUCACGCCGCUUUUCUGCUCUUCUCGCCCUGUUUUCUUGGCUGA